rnacentral:rRNA from 1 species
GACGAACGCUGGCGGCGUGCCUAAUACAUGCAAGUCGAGCGCAAGGAAGCUUUUCUGAUCCCUUCGGGGUGAAGAAGAGUGGAAUGAGCGGCGGACGGGUGAGUAACACGUGGGCAACCUACCUGUAAGAUCGGGAUAACUCGCGGAAACGUGAGCUAAUACCGGAUAACACUUUUCACCUCAUGGUGAGAAGAUGAAGGGCGGCGCAAGCUGUCACUUACAGAUGGGCCCGCGGCGCAUUAGCUAGUUGGUGGGGUAAAGGCUCACCAAGGCAACGAUGCGUAGCCGACCUGAGAGGGUGAUCGGCCACACUGGGACUGAGACACGGCCCAGACUCCUACGGGAGGCAGCAGUAGGGAAUCUUGCGCAAUGGGCGAAAGCCUGACGCAGCGACGCCGCGUGAGGGAUGACGGCCUU